rnacentral:rRNA from 1 species
UGCAAGUCGAACGAGAAUCUGUGGAAGAGGAUUCGUCCAAUUGAAGCAGAGGACAGUGGCGGACGGGUGAGUAACGCGUGAGGAACCUGCCUUUCAGAGGGGGACAACAGUUGGAAACGACUGCUAAUACCGCAUGACACAUCGGAGUCGCAUGGCUCUGAUGUCAAAGAUUUAUCGCUGAAAGAUGGCCUCGCGUCUGAUUAGCUAGUUGGUGAGGUAACGGCCCACCAAGGCGACGAUCAGUAGCCGGACUGAGAGGUUGAACGGCCACAUUGGGACUGAGAUACGGCCCAGACUCCUACGGGAGGCAGCAGUGGGGAAUAUUGGGCAAUGGGCGCAAGCCUGACCCAGCAACGCCGCGUGAAGGAAGAAGGCUUUCGGGUUGUAAACUUCUUUUGUCAGGGACGAGUAGAAGACGGUACCUGACGAAUAAGCCACGGCUAACUACGUGCCAGCAGCCGCGGUAAUACGUAGGUGGCAAGCGUUGUCCGGAUUUACUGGGUGUAAAGGGCGUGUAGCCGGGAGGGCAAGUCAGAUGUGAAAUCCACGGGCUCAACUCGUGAACUGCAUUUGAAACUACUCUUCUUGAGUAUCGGAGAGGCAAUCGGAAUUCCUAGUGUAGCGGUGAAAUGCGUAGAUAUUAGGAGGAACACC